GAUGAACGCUGGCGGCGUGCCUAAUACAUGCAAGUCGAGCGAACGGACGAGAAGCUUGCUUUUCUGAUGUUAGCGGCGGACGGGUGAGUAACACGUGGAUAACCUACCUAUAAGACUGGGAUAACUUCGGGAAACCGGAGCUAAUACCGGAUAAUAUUUUGAACCGCAUGGUUCAAAAGUGAAAGACGGUCUUGCUGUCACUUAUAGAUGGAUCCGCGCUGCAUUAGCUAGUUGGUAAGGUAACGGCUUACCAAGGCAACGAUGCAUAGCCGACCUGAGAGGGUGAUCGGCCACACUGGAACUGAGACACGGUCCAGACUCCUACGGGAGGCAGCAGUAGGGAAUCUUCCGCAAUGGGCGAAAGCCUGACGGAGCAACGCCGCGUGAGUGAUGAAGGUCUUCGGAUCGUAAAACUCUGUUAUUAGGGAAGAACAUAUGUGUAAGUAACUGUGCACAUCUUGACGGUACCUAAUCAGAAAACCACGGCUACUACGUG
rnacentral:rRNA from 1 species